UAGACCUGCUCUAUGUGAAAAGUGCCCUGAGACAACUUCUGUUGUGAUUUGGCGCUAUAUAAAUAACAUUUACUUUACUUGACAAGGACUGUCGAUUUUGUCCCUCAUCACUUAUGUUAAAAUUGUUUUUAAAAGAGAUAUCUGUGCAGCCAGCAUGGACUGGAGGAAUAAUUACAGUGUCCAAUAAUGCUUCCAAUGUACAUAUGGACAUAUGAGCAUUGUUUCAACAUAGACUUGAAAAAAAUGCAAACCUGUCUUUCAAGGUAGAUUCAAAGCUUUGUGUUUGAAAAGAUGCAUGUUUUUCUUUUCCAAACUUGCAUGGAAGAUCCAGUAUUGCCCUCAACUGGGAAGGAAGCAGCAGGCCACUGCAAAGACUCCCAUCAGUAAUAAGGUGGUUCACUCUUAUCACUAUUAGGAUCAAGGCAAGAACACAAAAUCACAUACACACACAAUAUAAAGUAUAUCUGCUUUUGUGCCUAUCAAUUUGUGAACUGUAUAGUCACUACACAGUGUACACACUUGCUCAUAAUUUCUUCGUUUCUAUUAUUAAGGUUAUUUCUACUACUCAUUUCCGCCUAGUUUUUCAAAUCUGAAUUUGAUUGAUAUCUUGUUACUUCUGUCCAUAAAGUAAUCCUUUCUGUCCUCCUCAGUGUUUAGUCAUCUCCCAGGCACUACGCCAGCACCACCCUGUACCAGAGAGCUCAAAUCCUUGCAUGGGGCAGGUUCAGUGUGAUCUGGCCUGGGACCAUGAGGGCUAUGAAGUCUGCAUCAAAACAUUCUUAAUGAAUCAUUUUACAUUGGAAUCAUGAGUGAAGCCUUUUCUAGUUAAACUACUGUUAAUUGUGCUUGACAUCUUUAGUGUAUUUUUUUUGUAUUCACUGAAUUUGUAUUUCCUACUGAUUUAACACUGAAUAAAUGUAUACAUUAUGCUGCAGACAGAUACCUUUUUUAUUAACCUUGAAAUAUAACUUGCAGGCACAUAAAGUGACAAAAAUGAUCAAAACAAAAUGAUUUUAUUGGAGGCAGAAAAGCAAUGUUAAUGUAAAAAUACUGAAGCCCAGUUCCCUUCUAAUCUCAAUGAGUAUACCACAAUAUUGAUUAUAUCUCCACAUGAUCA